rnacentral:lncRNA from 1 species
GACUGACACAAUACCUUUAUUUUAUUUAUUUUUAUGUGGUGCUGAGGAUCGAACCCAGUACCUCACAGGUCUGAACCAUGACCCAAGCCUCUAGCUUUUAGCAAUACCAUUUAUUUGCUAACUAUGGCCAAGAAUGGAUAUUUCAGUGCAGGUUUUGCUAUCAUUUUUAUUUUUGUCUGCUAUCUCUGACUAAAUUCUAUUCUUUUUAGCUCAUUUAUUUUAGUUCUUUUUCUCAUCUGAAAUUUCCAUGUGGAGCCACUGUCCCAUAACUUUUGGCUCAUUUCCCCCCAUUAGAGUAAAUAUUAUGCAAGCCUAGUGGGCGAAUUAGUGGCAAACAAAUGGGAUGUGGAAGUCUGGACCCACCUUCCUGCAUGGAUUGAGUCUCUGAGAAGUAUAAUACACCAAGUGUUCACUGCCCCAAGGGCUCAACAUCCAGCACACAAUGUCAUGCUCCUACCCACCUGCCUGCCUGCCUGCCAUCAUUGAUUUAUUCUGUCUUUUGUCAAAUACUUAGCACUUGCUCUGUCUUACAUGCAGUGGUAUGUAUUUCAGAAAAUAAAACAUAAAGACCCUAACCAUUCAUACAUUCAUACCCUGGUCUCUAUGCCUCUGACCUUCAUACAUGCUCACAUCCUAUAUUAUAUAGAUAUAUGUAGCUGGCCCGAUUUUAUUUCUUUCUGGAAGGUGGUCGCUGGAAGCUACCUGAGUCACUGGACCUUUCCUAAAACUCCAGGCCAUCACUUGAUCUGACUACACACUUAUUUGGAUAUAAGCCUGUGACUCUGGUUCUCUGAGAGGAGCGAUGGUCUCCAGGUGAGCACUGGGCCCUGUUUUCCUCUCUAUGCACCCACUGAUAUGAAUUGGGAGAGCAGAUGCAGGGAAAUGCCAUGAGUCACCAGGAACUCCUCCAGAAAGUGAUGGGAAGGGCAGGCUUGGCAGAAGAGAUCCUCACCUAAGCUGUGUGGUACGUGCCUGAGAUUUCCCAGAAGUCAUGAGGAAUGUUGGGUGGAAAGUUUCACUCUCUUUCAGCAAUGAACAGAAAUAAUCCACUUGAUUCCAUGUGAACUGAAUGAUGAAUGGCUUAUCUCUAAGCCUUACCAGAGCUCAAAGAAGGAAACUACCACUUCCUUUCCUCCUGGGAAAUGGCAGUUACUUUGCAAAUAUGCUACAUCUUACAUCACUUGAAACCAAUCUUAUCUCUAAAAACUGCUGAUUUUUUUAAGCUCUUAAAAUGUUUUAUGUAACAAAACUUUAGAACAAAUAGCAUUGCUCAGAGGCACUUAAGUAAAUGAGAUCACAGGGGAAAAUGGCUUCUGCUUCCCUCUCUGGUCACUGCCCCACUGGUCCUGUCCACUGCUUGAGUGCACCUGGAGGCUUCUUCUGUUCCCACUGCUCUGCCUCUGCCCAUUCUGCCACCCUCAGCUGAAUUUCCACAUUUUCUAUAGAGCUCAAUUCAACAUAUGCACAUGACAGGUAUUCCAUAAAUCCCUAAUUAAGCAGUUUUUGAAGAGUAGUCCUGGGUUCCCUGCAGUUCCCUGAAGUCUAUUUUAGAUGGUCAGCAAAUUAUUAUGAAAAAGUAUUUUUGUAUGAAGACUAGAUUACUUGACUCUUUUUACUCUCAGUGUUUCAAGUACAGGAAAUAUCAGUAGAUAUAAUCCUUUACAUGGAUUGAUGGGUCCCUUAAUUCAUAAGGUCUUGGGGAGUCCUGAAGUAAAGGAUAUUAAGGAUCACUUCCCUUUUUGGUUAAAGAAACAGCCUUGCUGGGAGGUGGUGGCAUGUGCUAUGUGGUACCCAAUUCUCAUCUUUGAGAAUGACUUAAAUUUAAUGACUUAAAAUACUUAAGAUAUGGAACGUGCAUCAGAACUACUCUUACAUCCUGUAAGUGGACCAGUGGUAUUAGGGUGGCUUUCAUGUAUGAAGAACAUCAGAUUUAGUUGGGAUCUGUGGGUUUUGAGUUUAGUUAGGACUAGGUGGUAAACUUUAGGAUAACGGAUAAAUCAAAAAUGGUAAAUUGUUAAUAUAAUGAAAUGUGUCAGUCUGGAUGCUAAGAAUCAAUGUCAGC